GACGAACGCUGGCGGCGUGCUUAACACAUGCAAGUCGAACGGAAAGGCCCUGCUUUUGUGGUGUUCUCGAGUGGCGAACGGGUGUGUAACACGUGUGUAACCUUCCCUUUACUUUGGGAUAUCUUCUUGAAACUUGGGCUAAUACCCGAUAUGAUCUCCUGCUGCAUGGUGUGGGUUGGAAAGUUUCGGCGGUUGGGGAUGGACUCGCGGCUUAUCAGCUUUUUGGUGGGGUAGUGGCUUACCAAGGCUUUGACGGGUAGCCGGCCUGAGAGGGUGACCGGGGACAAUGGGACUGAGAAAGGGAGCAGACGGGAACGGGAGGCAGGAGUGGGGAAUAUAGCAGAAUGGGGGGAAGGGAGAUGAAGAAACGCGGCGAGCGGGAAGAAGGCCUUGGGGUUGUAAACAGAAUAGGAAUGAGACGAAGAGAGAGUGACGGUAAUGGGUAAAGAAGCACCGGCUAACUACGUG
rnacentral:rRNA from 1 species